AGUGAACGCUGGCGGUAGGCCUAACACAUGCAAGUCGAGCGGCAGCACAGGAGAGCUUGCUCUCUGGGUGGCGAGUGGCGGACGGGUGAGGAAUACAUCGGAAUCUACUCUGUCGUGGGGGAUAACGUAGGGAAACUUACGCUAAUACCGCAUACGACCUACGGGUGAAAGCAGGGGACCUUCGGGCCUUGCGCGAUUGAAUGAGCCGAUGUCGGAUUAGCUAGUUGGCGGGGUAAGGCCCACCAAGGCGACGAUCCGUAGCUGGUCUGAGAGGAUGAUCAGCCACACUGGAACUGAGACACGGUCCAGACUCCUACGGGAGGCGGCAGUGGGGAAUAUUGGACAAUGGGCGCAAGCCUGAUCCAGCCAUACCGCGUGCGUGAAGAAGGCCUUCGGGUUGUAAAGCCCUUUUGUUGGGAAGGAAAUCCAGCUGGCUAAUACCCGGUUGGGAUGACGGUACCCAAAGAAUAAGCACCGGCUAACUUCGUGCCAGCCGCCGCCGUAA
rnacentral:rRNA from 1 species